rnacentral:rRNA from 1 species
GACGAACGCUGGCGGCGUGCUUAACACAUGCAAGUCGAACGGAAAGGCCCUGCUUUUGUGGGGUGCUCGAGUGGCGAACGGGUGAGUAACACGUGAGUAACCUGCCCUUGACUUUGGGAUAACUUCAGGAAACUGGGGCUAAUACCGGAUAGGAGCCCCUGCUGCAUGGUGGGGGUUGGAAAGUUUCGGCGGUUGGGAUGGACUCGCGGCUUAUCAGCUUGUUGGUGGGGUAGUGGCUUACCAAGGCUUUGACGGGUAGCCGGCCUGAGAGGGUGACCGGCCACAUUGGGACUGAGAUACGGCCCAGACUCCUACGGGAGGCAGCAGUGGGGAAUAUUGCACAAUGGGCGGAAGCCUGAUGCAGCAACGCCGCGUGCGGGAUGACGGCCUUCGGGUUGUAAACCGCUUUCGCCUGUGACGAAGCGUGAGUGACGGUAAUGGGUAAAGAAGCACCGGCUAACUACGUG